rnacentral:tRNA from 1 species
AAAUUGUCGCAGUUGGUUAGAGCACUUGAUUUACAUUCAAGAGGUCGAGGGUUCUCCCGUUUUUUUG